UAGGGAAUCUUCGGCAAUGGGGGGAACCCUGACCGAGCAACGCCGCGUGAGUGAAGAAGGUUUUCGGAUCGUAAAGCUCUGUUGUUAAGGAAGAACGAGUGUGAGAAUGGAAAGUUCAUGCUGUGACGGUACUUAACCAGAAAGGGACGGCUAACUACGUGCCAGCAGCCGCGGUAAUACGUAGGUCCCGAGCGUUGUCCGGAUUUAUUGGGCGUAAAGCGAGCGCAGGCGGUUAGAAAAGUCUGAAGUGAAAGGCAGUGGCUCAACCAUUGUAGGCUUUGGAAACUGUUUAACUUGAGUGCAGAAGGGGAGAGUGGAAUUCCAUGUGUAGCGGUGAAAUGCGUAGAUAUAUGGAGGAACACCGGUGGCGAAAGCGGCUCUCUGGACUGUAACUGACGCUGAGGCUCGAAAGCGUGGGGAGCGAACAGG
rnacentral:rRNA from 1 species